UGAGAAAUUCUAACCCUAACUAGUAAAAGAUUUCAAGAACCAAACAAAAAUAAGACUGAAAGAGGGAAGAAAGGAUUGAACCAAUGUUCGUGGCUACCAUUGGUGACGGCAAUGAACCUACACACCAUCAAACUAGUCUUCUCCAUGUGACUUUAGUUUGAAGGCAAGAAAUGAAAAAUCAAGGAGGGUAUGUUUCUCUUCUCCUAUAGAGCCUCACAAAAAGAGUGAUUGGAGGCUAAAGUUGGAGCC
rnacentral:lncRNA from 1 species